rnacentral:rRNA from 1 species
UACAGGGGGGGCAAGCGUUGUUCGGAAUUACUGGGCGUAAAGGGCUCGUAGGUGGCCAACUAAGUCGGACGUGAAAUCCCUCAGCUUAACUGGGGAACUGCGUCCGAUACUGGAUGGCUUGAGUUUGGGAGAGGGAUGCGGAAUUCCAGGUGUAGCGGUGAAAUGCGUAGAUAUCUGGAGGAACACCGGUGGCGAAGGCGGCAUCCUGGACCAACACUGACACUGAGGAGCGAAAGCCAGGGGAGCAAACAGG